AUUAGAAUUAAUUACUUUGUUUUCAACCGUUUAAAAGAUUAUUUUAAUCUUAAUUAGUACGAUAAGUGUAAAAUCCCGAAUCCACACAAACGGUGCUCAAACAGGUAGCACUGAAAUCACUACACGCACAGAGUCUUAGACGAAGCAAAAUAAUUAUUAUGCAAUUAGUAUAGUAUAAUUUUGGGCUGUGACGGAAAUAAAUAAUUGUAUACACCAAGAACGGACGUUUCAUUACACAAAACUACAACAUUGACACCUACAUAAUAUUGACUUUUUUAUGAGUUCGUGUCCAGAUAACACUUUAUUACAGUCGAAAGUAACAACUGUGAUGUUUAGCACUAAUAAUUCGAAAAAAUAAUGUGCAAAUAUUUGAUAAAGUGGUUCAGACAGGUGAUAUCUCAUUUUUUAUUCUUAUUUAAAACGGGCAGAGAUAUCUCGAAUGGCUAUUGAAUAAAAUUUACUCUGGUAAGCAGUUGCACUUACCUUCUGGAAUAUUUUUAGUCAUGAAAGCCGGUAAUGCGUCCUCCGGUGCACUUAAGUUCUUUUUACUUUCACAAUGCAAGCACACUCGCAAAAA